UACGAAGGGGGCUAGCGUUGCUCGGAAUCACUGGGCGUAAAGCGCACGUAGGCGGAUCUUUAAGUCAGGGGUGAAAUCCUGGAGCUCAACUCCAGAACUGCCUUUGAUACUGGGGAUCUCGAGUCCGGGAGAGGUGAGUGGAACUGCGAGUGUAGAGGUGAAAUUCGUAGAUAUUCGCAAGAACACCAGUGGCGAAGGCGGCUCACUGGCCCGGUACUGACGCUGAGGUGCGAAAGCCAGGGGAGCAAACGGG
rnacentral:rRNA from 1 species